UACAGAGGCCACAAGCGUUAGUCGGAAUCACUGGGCUUAAAGGGUGCGUAGGUGGGCCCGCAAGCGUUCUGUGAAAGCCCUCGGCUCAACCGAGGAACAGCAGAGCGAACUGCGGGUCUUGAGGCAGGUAGGGGCUGGAAGAACGGUUGGUGGAGCGGUGAAAUGCGUAGAGAUCAACCGGAAUGCCGAUGGGGAAGCCGUCCAGCUGGGCCUGUCCUGACACUGAGGCACGAAAGCGUGGGGAGCAAACAGG
rnacentral:rRNA from 1 species